rnacentral:rRNA from 1 species
AGAGUUUGAUCCUGGCUCAGAUUGAACGCUGGCGGCAUGCCUAACACAUGCAAGUCGAACGGAAACGAUGCUAGCUUGCUAGCAGGCGUCGAGUGGCGGAUGGGUGAGUAAUGUAUAGGAACUUGCCUAGUAGUGGGGGACAACGUGUGGAAACGCACGCUAAUACCGCAUAAUCUCUACGGAGGAAAGCGGGGGAUCUUCGGACCUCGUGCUAUUAGAUAGGCCUAUAUAGGAUUAGCUAGUUGGUAAGGUAAUGGCUUACCAAGGCGACGAUCCUUAGCUGGUUUGAGAGAAUGAUCAGCCACACUGGGACUGAGACACGGCCCAGACUCCUACGGGAGGCAGCAGUGGGGAAUAUUGCACAAUGGAGGAAACUCUGAUGCAGCAAUGCCGCGUGUGUGAAGAAGGCCUUCGGGUUGUGAAGCACUUUCAGACGUGAGGAAAAGUUGAUAGUUAAUAACUAUCAGCCCUGACGUUAACGUCAGAAGAAGCACCGGCUAACUCCGUGCCAGCAGCCGCGGUAAUACGGAGGGUGCAAGUGUUAAUCGGAAUUACUGGGCGUAAAGCGCGCGUAGGCGGAUAAUUAAGUCAGAUGUGAAAUCCCUGGGCUCAACCUAGGAACUGCAUUUGAUACUGGUUAUCUAGAGUAUGGUAGAGGUGAGUGGAAUUUCAGGUGUAGCGGUGAAAUGCGUAGAGAUCUGAAGGAACAUCAGUGGCGAAGGCGACUCACUGGGCCAUUACUGACGCUGAGGUGCGAAAGCGUGGGUAGCAAACAGGAUUAGAUACCCUGGUAGUCCACGCCCUAAACGAUGUCAACUAGUUG